UAUUUUCAGUUUCUCCACAUGGCAUAAACUCAAUGAAGAGAGAUUUAAAGGCUGCACAUCCAACAGACGAAUGGACAACACAAUGGCUUCCUACUUCGUCCUGCACCUGCCUCCUUGAAAGAAAACAAGACAUCAGAUACUUAUUCAAAUAAUGCAGUAGCUGAUCAGCAGAGUAUCUACACAAUGAUUUCAGUUUUCUACACACUGAAGAGCAAUGGGGCUCAGCUUUGGAGCAGACAGUGUUCUGUUGCUAAUAUUGCAGAUGAGUCAACUAACAAGUGGGAAAGAGGAUUAAGGUAAUGGCCUUUU